rnacentral:rRNA from 1 species
GAUGAACGCUGACAGAAUGCUUAACACAUGCAAGUCAACUUGAAUUUGGGUUUUUAACUUAGGUUUGGGUGGCGGACGGGUGAGUAACGCGUAAAGAACUUGCCUCACAGCUAGGGACAACAUUUGGAAACGAAUGCUAAUACCUAAUAUUAUGAUAAUAGGGCAUCCUAUAAUUAUGAAAACUAUAAGCGCUGUGAGAGAGCUUUGCGUCCCAUUAGCUAGUUGGAGAGGUAACGGCUCACCAAGGCGAUGAUGGGUAGCCGGCCUGAGAGGGUGAUCGGCCAAAAGGGGACUGAGAAAAGGCACUGACACCUACGGGAGGCAGCAGUGGGGAAUAAUGGAGAAUGGACCGAGAGUCUGAUCCAGCAAUUCAGUGUGCACGAUGAAGUUUUUCGGAAUGUAAAGUGCUUUCAGUUGGGAAGAAACAAAUGACGGUACCAACAGAAGAAGUGACGGCUAAAUACGUG